GAUGAACGCUAGCGGCAGGCUUAAUACAUGCAAGUCGAGGGGCAGCAUGAUUGCAGCAAUACAAUUGAUGGCGACCGGCAAACGGGUGCGGAACACGUACACAACCUUCCAACAAGUGGGGGAUAGCCCAGAGAAAUUUGGAUUAAUACCCCGUAACAUAGCGAUGUGGCAUCACAUUGCUAUUAUAGAUUUUUCGCUUGUUGAUGGGUGUGCGGCUGAUUAGAUAGUUGGCGGGGUAACGGCCCACCAAGUCUACGAUCAGUAGCUGAUGUGAGAGCAUGAUCAGCCACACGGGCACUGAGACACGGGCCCGACUCCUACGGGAGGCAGCAGUAAGGAAUAUUGGACAAUGGACGCAAGUCUGAUCCAGCCAUGCCGCGUGAAGGAUUAAGGUCCUCUGGAUUGUAAACUUCUUUUAUAAGGGACGAAAAAAGGCUUUUCUAAGUCGUCUGACGGUACCUUAUGAAUAAGCACCGGCUAACUCCGUGCCAGCCGCCGCUGUAAAAC
rnacentral:rRNA from 1 species